rnacentral:rRNA from 1 species
CCUACGGGUGGCAGCAGUGAGGAAUAUUGGUCAAUGGCCGAGAGGCUGAACCAGCCAAGUAGCGUGAAGGAUGACUGCCCUACGGGUUGUAAACCUCUUUUAUCAGGGAACAAAGCGAGUCACGUGUGACUCAUUGCGAGUACCCGAAGAAAAAGCAUCGGCUAACUCCGUGCCAGCAGCCGCGGUAAUACGGAGGAUGCGAGCGUUAUCCGGAUUUAUUGGGUUUAAAGGGUGCGCAGGGGGAUGUGAAAGUCAGCGGUCAAAUUUCGGGGCUCAACCCCGUAUUGCCGUUGAUACUGGAUGCCUUGAGUGCGGGAGAGGUAUGCGGAAUGCGUGGUGUAGCGGUGAAAUGCAUAGAUAUCACGAAGAACCCCGAUUGCGAAGGCAGCAUACUG